UACGGGGGGAGCAAGCGUUGUUCGGAUUUACUGGGCGUAAAGGGCGCGUAGGCGGCCACCGCAAGUCGACUGUGAAAUCUCCGGGCUUAACCCGGAAAGGUCAGCCGAUACUGCGGGGCUAGAGUGCAGAAGGGGCAACUGGAAUUCUCGGUGUAGCGGUGAAAUGCGCAGAUACCAGGAGGAACACCGGUGGCGAAGGCGGGUCUCUGGGCCGUAACUGACGCUGAGGAGCGAAAGCGUGGGGAGCGAACAGG
rnacentral:rRNA from 1 species